rnacentral:rRNA from 1 species
GUUCUGGCAGAAAUGGCUCCGGCGCCUCAGGAUGGGUCUGCGGCCUAUCAGGGUAGUAGUGGGUGUAACGUACCUACUAGCCUACGACGGGUACGGGUUGUGAGAGCAAGAGCCCGGAGAUGGAUUCUGAGACAUGAAUCCAGGCCCUACGNNNNGCANNNNNNNCGAAAACUUUANNNNNCGGGCAACCGCGAUAANNNGACCUCNNGUGCUGGGUUACAAACCUGGCUGUUGGGCUGCCUAAAAAGCAGUCUAUAGCAAGGGCCGGGCAAGACCGGUGCCAGCCGCCGCGGUAACACCGGCGGCUCGAGUGGUAACCGCUGUUAUUGGGUCUAAAGGGUCUGUAGCCUGCCGGCUAAGUCUCUUGGGAAAUCUGGCAUCUCAAGUGUCAGGCUGCCAGGGGAUACUGGCCGGCUUGGGACCGGGAGAGGUGAGAGGUACCUCAGGGGUAGGGGUGAAAUCUUGUAAUCCUUGAGGGACCACCAGUGGCGAAGGCGUCUCACCAGAACGGAUCCGACGGCAAGGGACGAAAGCUA